rnacentral:tRNA from 1 species
GCUCGCUCAGUUGGUAGAGCAUGUGACUCUUGGUCUCAGGCUCAUGAGUUCAAGCCUCAUUUGGGGCA